rnacentral:sRNA from 1 species
GGCGGCGUGUUGCUCAGCCCCUUUCUGCUCUAUGCGCUGCUGGCGUUGCUCGCCACCGGGCUGUUGCGCCUGGGCCUGCAGCGGACGCCGCUGGGGCGUUGGAUCUGGCACGAGGCGCUGUUCGACUGCGCCUUG